CAGUCGCCACGGUAAUACGUAGGGUGCGAGCGUUAAUCGGAAUUACUGGGCGUAAAGCGUGCGCAGGCGGUUCGUUAAGACAGAUGUGAAAUCCCCGGGCUUAACCUGGAACUGCAUUUGUGGCUGGCGAGCUAGAGUAUGGCAGAGGGGGGCAGAAUUCCACGUGUAGCAGUGAAAUGCGUAGAGAUGUGGAGGAAUACCGAUGGCGAAGGCAGCCCCCUGGGCCAAUACUGACGCUCAUGCACGAAAGCGUGGGGAGCAAACAGGAUUAGAUACCCCUGUAGUCCCUGUCUCUUAUACA
rnacentral:rRNA from 1 species